rnacentral:rRNA from 1 species
CCUACGGGGGGCUGCAGUGGGGAAUAUUGCGCAAUGGGCGAAAGCCUGACGCAGCGACGCCGCGUGAGGGAUGAAGGUCUUCGGAUCGUAAACCUCUGUCAGCAGGGAAGAACGGUCACGGUGCUAAUCAGCAGUGAAUUGACGGUACCUGCAAAGGAAGCACCGGCUAACUCCGUGCCAGCAGCCGCGGUAAUACGGAGGGUGCGAGCGUUAAUCGGAAUUACUGGGCGGAAAGCGCUCGUAGGCGGUAUGUCAAGUCAAGGGUGAAAUCCCCGCGCUCAACGUGGGAACUGCCUUUGAAACUGUCAAACUGGUGUGUGUGAGAGGCUAGUGGCAUUCCAGGUGUAGGUGUGAAAUCCGUAGAUAUCUGGAGGAACAUCAGUGGCGAAGGCGACUAUCUGGCACAUAACUGACGCUGAGGAGCGAAAGCGUGGGUAGCAAACAGGAUUAGAUACCCCAGUAGUC